AACGAACGCUGGCGGCGCGCCUAACACAUGCAAGUCGAACGAGAAUCCGGGGCAACCCGGUAGUAAAGUGGCAAACGGGUGAGGAAUACAUGGGUAACCUACCCUUGAGAAGGGAAUAACCCGCCGAAAGGUGAGCUAAUACCCUAUACGCUAUCUUUUUUUCGAAAAGGAUAGGAAAGCCGGGUCGAGGACCUGGUACUCAAGGAGGGGCUCAUGUCCUAUCAGCUUGUUGGUGGGGUAACGGCCUACCAAGGCUACGACGGGUAGCUGGUCUGAGAGGAUGAUCAGCCACACUGGCACUGAGAUACGGGCCAGACUCCUACGGGAGGCAGCAGUGAGGAAUAUUGCGCAAUGGGCGAAAGCCUGACGCAGCGACGCCGCGUGGGGGAUGAAGGUUUUCGGAUUGUAAACCCCUUUCAUGAGGAAAGAUAAAGUGGGUAACCGCUUAGACGGUACCUCAAGAAGAAGCCACGGCUAACUUCGUG
rnacentral:rRNA from 1 species